UGCGUGAAGUACCGUGGGAGGUGGUAUUUCUCCGCAGCUGUGAGUGGGAGGGAGGAGGAGCUCCAAUGGUUCAGAAUGAUGGACAGCGGCGUGUACACCAUGCAGACAACCGCUGUCCCCCAAACCGUACUGCUGAACGUUGACAUUCGCAUUGGAAACAACUGCAUGAGAUCUUCAAUGACCUACAAAGUCCUCUCAGGCAGAAAUGACGUGCAGCUAGAAGGACGGCCCCAGCGUCAGACGUUCUUCUGGGGUGGAGCGCAGCACAACGACUCCGACUACAUCAUCGUGCAGGAAACGGAGCCUGCACCGGCCGCGCUCGACGUAUACACGCUCUUCGGUAGAAAGAAAGUCCUACCUGACGACGUGAUUAAAGAUUUCCAGGAGAUAUUGGCAUGUCAAGGAAUGACGGCGUUCUUCAGACUUCCUCAGACCCAAGGUUGGUGUCUCGGAGACCGGGAAGACCCUUGAGGAUGAAAGCUUGACUAAAUGACUAAUGAAAACCCUUCAUCAGUCAGCACUUG
rnacentral:lncRNA from 1 species